rnacentral:lncRNA from 1 species
UAAGCUCCAAUGCCUUACCUGACGCCGCGGGCCUUCAUCACGAUCAUUUUCCGCCAACAUGAUACGUCGGGGCAUUCCGCGGUGAAUAAAUACAAGUGAUCUCGGGGCAUUCCCCGGCUAAAUAAAUACAUCUAAAUUAAACACGAUAAUCUAGAAAGAGACAUUCACACGCACAUUCCAACAUCCCACGAAACACUUAUUCCUAAAUUUUGCUUGCCCGACCUACGUUUGCCUACCCGCUCGACUUACCAUGAUACUAUCAUGAAAUUGAUAAUUAGACGUGAAAGUAACA